rnacentral:lncRNA from 12 species
GCAGCUCUGGGUGUGCAGCUCUGGGUGUGCAGCUCUGGGUGUGCAGCUCUGGGUGUGCAGCUCUGGGUGUGCAGCUCUGGGUGUGCAGCUCUGAGGGAACAGUUUGCAGCUCAGAGGGACAGCACAGAGCCCCCAGCUGGGACAGUAAAGGCAGAACAAACGGGUGAGGAGGAGGAGGAGGAGGAGGGGGGCACGGAAGCUGCUCAGGGAUGAUCCUAUCCCGUACCCAGCUCUGGGCCGUUGGUUCUGGCAGAGAAGAGCUGGGUGAUGUGACCCAGACUGCCCAGGGCAGAGCCCAUCCUUCUCCCGUGCUUCAGGAAUUCAGAGCUCAAUGACUCCAUUUCACAAAGACUGCAGCACGGAGGGAACUUUUCCUCCUCACAGAAGAGGCCACUUGAAGCCCUGCCAUGAGCUGAGCUUCAGGGCAGUUUGCUGUUCUGCUCCUGCUGACUGUGAGACCCCUGUCCAGAAAACGAGGAUCAACAUCAAAUCCAGGAAGCUCAGCCUCGAUAAACAAAUGAGGAUGGAAACCAUGGCAGGUCCA